UGCAUUAACUUUAUACAUUAUAAAGUACUUGUCGAAUCAUAAUAUAUUUGUUACAUGCAAAGAGAAUAAGAAUAUGAAUCAAACUCUUAAGUUUGUUUAUGCUUUCAUUUUAUUUCUUUCGCUAGCUUUUGUUGCAAAGAAGAUUGAUGGCGCCGAAGUAAUAAAAUAUGAAACUGAUGAUGAUAAUUCAAAAACGCUCCACUUAACUAAUUUUAUUUAUAAGUGUGUAACCAAGUUUUGUACAUUUGUAAGAGAAAGUUGUAGGGGAAUGUGAACUCUCUGAGUAAGGUAUUCAAGAGAUACACAAAUUCCAUGCAUGAAAACAUGAAUUCUUGCACUAGCAAAAGUUCUAUAUAAUAAAAUUUUAGCUAGAAUAAUAUUCAAUGAAUUGCCAUUUAUGUUUGAUGGUGGAUUCAAAAAUUGUAUAUUUAAUUUUUUGGUCAUGUAAUUCUACAGAUUUUGAAAUUAGUGUAAUUUCUAAUUUGGAUUUCUUCGGAGAUUUUUCUAUAUAUUGUACCUCUCUACAAAAUAUUAUCGGUCAAGAUUAUAAAGGAGCAAAUAAUGUACUAGUAUUUCGAGGAUUUGAUAUCUUCAUAUUCAGAUUGUUCAAAGAUUGAAAAACCUUACACAAAACUUACUUUGAAGAGAUGGAUUAGAGUACUAUUUAAUGGAGAACUUGGCUGGAUAUGUCACUUUGAUGCAACAUUCACAAGGUAGAUGGACCUUUAAUUUUGGAGAUAUGGGGACUUGGAUUAGAACAUACAAGUAUGAUCAAAGUCUGCGCAUAUGCUCCACCAAAGUGAGUUUUGGAUUUGAGUGUUUUGGAUUUGGAACCUUCUUUUUCUUGGGGCUACCUAUCUUCCUUUCUUGCCUAUAGUGCUCUAUGACAAAAUUCCAUACAUUUGUUGCCAUGGUCCCUAGUGUUUGAACCAUAUGAACUUUGAAUAACUAACCAAAUGCAUAUAACCUUUGUGUAAAUAGACUUGUGAUUAUAAUUUGGAUUUGAAUCAAGUUAUGGAAUAAAAUCUUUUGCUUGUAGAA